UAGCGUUGUUCGGAUUUACUGGGCGUAAAGCGCACGUAGGCGGCUCGUUAAGUCGGGGGUGAAAUCCUGGAGCUCAACUCCAGAACUGCCUUCGAUACUGGCGAUCUUGAGUCCGGAAGAGGUGAGUGGAACUCCUAGUGUAGAGGUGGAAUUCGUAGAUAUUAGGAAGAACACCAGUGGCGAAGGCGGCUCACUGGUCCGGUACUGACGCUGAGGUGCGAAAGCGUGGGGAGCGAACAGG
rnacentral:rRNA from 1 species